rnacentral:misc_RNA from 1 species
AAUAAAUGUCGGGAGGUAGGGCCUGCAGUGCGUGUAAUCCAUGUGCUGCAGCCUGCCUCUGUCUAGAUAUUCUACCCAUGUCUUUUGCGUACUAUUCGUUUCCUCGGCGGGCUUGCCUGCCGCAAGGACACUAUAAAACCUUUUGUAAUUGCAAUCAGCGUCAGUAAAAAAACUUUAAUAGUAA